rnacentral:rRNA from 1 species
CGGAGGGUGCAAGCGUUAAUCGGAAUUACUGGGCGUAAAGCGCGCGUAGGCGGCUUAUUAAGUUGGAUGUGAAAGCCCCGGGCUCAACCUGGGAAUGGCCUCCAAGACUGGUAAGCUAGAGUGCAGAAGAGGGUGGUGGAAUUUCUAGUGUAGCGGUGAAAUGCGUAGAUAUUAGAAGGAACAUCAGUGGCGAAGGCGACCACCUGGUUUGACACUGACGCUGAGGUGCGAAAGCAUGGGGAGCAAACAGGAUU